CAAAGAGCUUCUUUAAAAAUGUAGCUUAUAGAGAUCAAUAUUCACAUUAUUAGAAAUUAAGCCCUGUAAGAUGUUUCAAUGUAGCAAUUUCUAGCUUACAAAUCUGUAAUAACUUUUGCCUUUUAAAGGGUUUGUCUAAUUUGUAAUGUCUAAAAAUUGACUUCCGCCUUCUUCAAACUCUGACCAAGGGGUCUCAAGUGACGCAGCGGUCUCGCUGGGUUCACAGUAAGACUCUGGGCUCGACUAGCCUUUCUUCAGACUUCUCUUACCCUUCCAGUCUCCACCCUGCUGCCCCUCUGUGUCUGCCCCACAUUGCCCAUUUCUAGCAAGAGCCUUGCUAAGGCAGGUUAGACACCCCCCCCAUAUACGCUGGGUAUCCCUCUUGAUAUCACACGCUCACCCCUACUGUGGGUGUCUGCUGGCCCUGGCCAGCCUUCAGCAAGAACCCAAUAGCCCUGUCCCUGGUGUUUCCUCUCAGUGAUUUCCAGCCCCUGACUCCACCCUGCUCCUGGGCUGCAAAUCCUCUCUGGUCCAGGCAGCGCUGGGAAUGGGCCAGUGCCAUCCCCAUACCUCUUCCCUCCCGUGGCAGUGGUUCCUGAAUAAAACCUGUCUUGACUGCCUCACCGGCUACUGUCCUGCUGAGAGCCACCGCAGAGUCUGUAUGGCCCCUGGCAUUUUGCCAACAGUAUUGAUUGACAGGCGAGGCAUUACUAUCCGCCUCUGCCGCAACUUUUGAGUUCUCGCACUAUUUUGGAGUUCUCGUGGGGAUUUCCGGGGAUUCCCCAAGAGUUCCCAUUGGUUGGGGAAGUGCAGGAGGAGGGAUUUCCGGGAGAGAUUUUUCCGGCUGGGGGUUCCUGGACGAGCCGCGUGGCGUUUGGGAGGAUUCCCCGGGAGCUGUGUGAAGUGUUUUCCUGCAGUUCAAAAAUAAAGUUUGUUCCUGCUUCAGUGGCUCGUGAUUUGUGCCCAGCCAGACUGCGGCACUGUCCAGUACUGGAUUUUCUUUAUAAGAAAGCAUUCUGUUACAGAAGGCUCAACAAG
rnacentral:lncRNA from 1 species